ACUCAAAUGAAUUGACGGGGGCCCGCACAAGCGGUGGAGCAUGUGGUUUAAUUCGACGCAACGCGAAGAACCUUACCCAGGCUCGAACGGCAGACGACAUCCGGCGAAAGCCGGCUCCCGCAAGGGCGUCUGUCGAGGUGCUGCAUGGCUGUCGUCAGCUCGUGUCGUGAGAUGUUGGGUUAAGUCCCGCAACGAGCGCAACCCUUGUCUUCUGUUGCCAUCAGGUCACGCUGGGCACUCUGAAGAGACUGCCGGUGACAAACCGGAGGAAGGUGGGGAUGACGUCAAGUCAGCAUGGCCUUUAUGUCUGGGGCCACACACGUGCUACAAUGGCCGGUACAAACCGUCGCGAGCCCGUAAGGGGGAGCUAAUCGGAGAAAGCCGGUCUCAGUUCGGAUUGUCGGCUGCAACUCGCCGGCAUGAAGUUGGAAUCGCUAGUAAUCGCGGAUCAGCACGCCGCGGUGAAUACGUUCCCGGGCCUUGUACACACCGCCCGU
rnacentral:rRNA from 1 species